AAACCCUCUGACUCUCCAAUCUCUCUUUGAAGAUCACCCAAACCACUAGCAGCCUCACAAUCCCACACAGCCUCUACCAUGAACCACCGCCGAAAUCACCUCACGGCAGUUUCGUUGGUCCAUUCACCUCAAAAUUGAUACCACAAACUCCCCUGCACCUCCCCAUUCCAAAUCAUCACUCCCUUUCCUUUGAAUCAAGCCCAAGUGGUUCGAAUCUUUGAAUGAAAUCUGACUGAAAAUCCUAAAGGCUCUAAAGGCUCACCAUUUAAUACCCACAGACUCCCCUUCCCCUCCUCGUCUUAGAUUCCCGACUAGUUCUUCCAAGAUCUUCAUUUACUGGUUGGAAAUUAAGAUCUAAGAAUCAAACAUGAAAAUCCUAGCUUUCCCCAAAUUGAUCCCAAAGUUCGUUUGCUCUUCUUUUCCUGUAAAUUCGAGGCUCUUAUAAGUCCUUUCUUUCAUGAAGAUUUAGUCAAAGUAAUGCAAGACCGGAUCUCUUGAAAGAAAAGACCCACGUUGGUCAAAGCGAACACGAAAUUCAUGAAGUUUUUGACGAUUUUUUAUUCCAGUCAUUGGUAAGUUUCUAUCGUUUGCUUCCCCCUUUUCUUUUCUUCUUUCUUUUCCCCUUCUUUAUUUUUAAAGGCCGAGUCAGUUUUUCUUCAUAGCUUGAUUUCUAGUUCUGUAAAAAUUGAUUGUUCUUUGGAUUGUUUAAUUAGUAAUUUUGUCCUAUGGCACAUUAGAUUGUUCUCACAAUAGUUCCAUUUGUUUGUUCAAUGUUACAUCUAGUUUGUUAAUUUGGUUUAGUUCAGAGUCAAUCUUAUUUGUAAGGUAAUUAGCAUUUUUAUUCAUGUUUGGAUGCAUUAUUCAAUCAGCUUGUUGAUUCCCUCUUAAUCUAGAAUUUAUGAUGAAUGGAUUUCAUAUUAAGCAUGCUAAUCAUGAUAAUUAAUUCUAGUUGUUUUAGAUCAAGUACGGUUAAAAUUAAGAUUAUUAACUAUUUGUUUCAUUCUUUUCUUCUUCCAUAUUUCCAUGUGUUUGACUAAUAAAAGAAAGCAUAGAUUAGAUAAAUUAAUUUUCCAGUUUACUAUGGUUUUAACAUCCUUUAGGGCUAAUUAAAUAAGCAAUUGGUCAAUUGGUUAGUUUUUAAAAUAGAAUGAAAUCAGCAUGUUUGGUUUCAACAUUAAUUGGUCUUUUUGAUGCUUUCUAGUUUUAUUUAGCCUAAUUUGGAAAUUAACAGAACCUUAAGGGGUUUAUUUGAAUUUAAAAGUUAGGCUAGAACCUCAAAUAAGUAACAACCUAAAGGGUAAAAAAGGGUUUUCACUUAGGGCUGAAAAUUAGAUAUUUUUUAAAAGUGUACAACUGUUCUAGCCGUUAAAAAUAUACUAAAAUAUAGGACAAUUGUACCAAGGACUUUUAAAAGGGACAAUAUUAUUAUUCUUUAGGAUCAGGAAUAUGCUAAAAGAUGUCGUCCCGUUAGGCCGCCUAUAUAUAGUCUCUAUCUUUCUGAAAAAGAUUCAUUUUCCUGCUCUUCUGAAAAAGUUCAAUUUUUACAGAAUUUCUAAAGAAACUUUUCUCUUUGGUUUUCAAAAAGGCUGAAAAUGACUUGAAGAAAGGCAUUCUCUUUGGUUUCUUUUGGUUGAAAGUUCUGAAUUUUCAAGAGCUGAAUUUGGCUUGAUGGGCUAUUUUCUGUUGUUGUUGCUUUCUUCUCUUUGGAGUUUCAGUGCUAUUCAAGUGACCACCAUUUAUUCUAUUUUCUUGAAUCCUUUUUAGGUAUGUAAUCAUGCUCCCAUUAUGAAAUGAAUCUAUUUGUCCAAACUUGAAGUUAUUUAUGAAUAUGCGUGCAUGAUUGAGGGCAAUGUGUGUUCAUUUAUGUCAAGCUUGUUUGGUAUUUUGGUAUGUAUUGCAAUAGCAUUAAAAUGAUAUAAAAUCUAAUGUCAAUAGCCUUGAUUCAUAAUAAAACACUUAGUUGAGAUUGUUGUUUAUACUACUUCAAGUAAUAUUUUAAUCUUUCUCCAUCUGAUUUCCUCACUUAAAUAUCUUUUCUUUUUCUAUUUUUUUAAUUUUUUGGUCAUGAGCUAUAACUUGUUGGUUAAGCCACCAAUUGUUUGGAUCAGUUGACUUAAAAGCUUUAAGGUGAGAUUUAUAUGUUAAUAAAAGAAGAUGAAGCUACGACGGACAAAGCCAUGUUCAAAAAUAAGCAAGGAUCUUCUAUUAGUAUACAACUCUGUAAUAGUUUAGUUCAAGAUUUAGUUAGUUGAUUAGUGUUAUAUUAGCUUUUUAUUUAGAAUAUUUGUUUCAAGAAAACAGUGGCAUGAAUUAACAGCAUGCAAAGCUCGUUAAUAAUGUAAAGUUUGUAAUUCAAUACUAGGAGUUGUUUAAUAAUUGGACUGCAUAAGUGUUUGGUUAAAUAAGUUCUAUGUGUAAAUUCGAACUUACAUUUCAAAGGCUAGGCUACAAUUAAUGCGGCUAAGUGAGUGUUCUUUGUAAGUUUAGGUAUAAUUCUGUGAACAACACUUACUCAAUUAAGAUGUAUCUCGCUGAAUUCUUUAGUUUUUUGUUUGGACUUGGUUAAGGUUCAAGCCAAGGCAGCUUGUUAAAAGUCGUGUUUGAGCUUCCUUUUUUUGAGUUCACUCUUUGCCUUUGGGGCUCAAUUUCAGGCGUAAAUGGCCUUUGAGCUCUUGUCCCAUUUCUUACAGCUUGAUAAACGUUCUUUUGUUUAGAGUUGGGUUGGAUUUGGCUGUAAUAAAUCAUGCCUUUGAUUUUUUAUUGUGUGCUCUUAUGAACAAAUAGUUACAUAUUUCAAGUCUAGUCAUGAAUAGUUUAUGCUUUCAAAUAGUUGUAUUGUCAUUCAAGUUUGUGAUUGUAAAUUGGAAUCUCUUUAAUCCAGAACGAGAACUCUUUUGUAAUUCUUGAUUUAUGUAUAUCAUAGCUAGAAAUACUGAAGAAGGUGUAUUGGCCCAGCCACUGACGAUGCACAACUAGGCCCGCCUAAUAAGCCCAUUGCGGGUUGUUUGUCUCUUGAUCAACAAUUGUAUUUUUAGGCUUCUAACUUUUGGGCCAAUUGUGAGCCCAAAUUUCAACUUUCGAAGCUGAUUCAGUAGUAGGUUGUUGUUGGCUUAUUUCCCUUGUCCAAAAACAAUUAAAACUUUUCAUAAUUAGUUUUGCCUUAGUUAAGCUUAGAUUAGACUCAAAUAUGAAUAUCUUAG
rnacentral:lncRNA from 1 species